GAGGACUGAAAAUCCUCGUGUCACUGGUUCGAUUCCGGUUCUGGGCA
rnacentral:tRNA from 1 species